CCUACGGGAGGCAGCAGUGAGGAAUAUUGUUCAAUGGCCGUAAGGCUGAACCAGCCAAGUCGCGUGAAGGAAGACGGAUCUAUGGGUUGUAAACUUCUUUUGUAGGGGGGUAAAGGUAUACACGCGUGUCUAUUUGCAAGUACCCUACGAAUAAGCAUCGGCUAACUCCGUGCCAGCAGCCGCGGUAAUACGGAGGAUGCAAGCGUUAUCCGGAUUUAUUGGGUUUAAAGGGUGCGUAGGUGGUCUUUUAAGUUAGCGGUGAAAUUUUGUGGCUCAACCAACGAAUUGCCGUUGAUACUGGCAGGCUAGAGUUUGGUUGCGGUAGGCGGAAUGUGUGGUGUAGCGGUGAAAUGCAUAGAGAUCACACAGAACUCCGAUUGCGAAGGCAGCUUACUAAGCUACAACUGACGCUGAGGCACGAAAGCGUGGGGAUCAAACAGGAUUAGAUACCCCAGUAGUC
rnacentral:rRNA from 1 species